rnacentral:rRNA from 1 species
CCUACGGGAGGCAGCAGUGGGGAAUAUUGGGCAAUGGGCGCAAGCCUGACCCAGCAAAGCCGCGUGAGGGAAGAAGGCUUUCGGGUUUUAAACUUCUUUUAAGCGGGAAGAGCAGAAGACGGUACCUCUUGAAUAAGCCACGGCUAACUACGUGCCAGCAGCCGCGGUAAUACGUAGGUGGCAAGCUUUGUCCGGAUUUACUGGUGGUAAAGGGCUUGCAGCCGGGAAGACAAGUCAGAUGUGAAAUCCCGGGGCUCAACCGCGGCACUGCAUGUGAAACUGGUUUUCUUGAGUACCGGAGAGGUCAUCGGAAUGCGUUGUGUAGCGGUGAAAUGCGUAGAUAUAAGGAAGAACACCAGUGGCGAAGGCGGAUGACUGGACGGCAACUGACGGUGAGGCGCGAAAGCGUGGGGAGCAAACAGGAUUAGAUACCCGGGUAGUC